UACGUAGGGGGCAAGCGUUAUCCGGAUUUACUGGGUGUAAAGGGAGCGUAGACGGCAAUACAAGUCGGAAGUGAAAUACCCGGGCUUAACCUGGGAACUGCUUUGGAAACUGUAUGGCUGGAGUGCUGGAGAGGUAAGCGGAAUUCCUAGUGUAGCGGUGAAAUGCGUAGAUAUUAGGAGGAACACCAGUGGCGAAGGCGGCUUACUGGACAGUAACUGACGUUGAGGCUCGAAAGCGUGGGGAGCAAACAGG
rnacentral:rRNA from 1 species